rnacentral:rRNA from 1 species
CUCGGAAAAGCCACUAAGCUUCAGCUUAAGAAAAACCGUACCGCAAACCGACACAGGUAGGCAGGGUGAGAAUCCCAAGGCGCUUGAGAGAACUCGGGUGAAGGAACUAGGCAAAAUGGCACCGUAACUUCGGGAGAAGGUGCGCCCUUUGGUGUGGUCACGUGCGUGACUGAGCAUCGAAGGGUCGCAGUAACCUGGCCGCUGCGACUGUUUAACAAAAACACAGCACUCUGCAAACACGAAAGUGGACGUAUAGGGUGUGACGCCUGCCCGGUGCUGGAAGGUUAAUUGAUGGGGUCAGCCGCAAGGCGAAGCUCUUGAUCGAAGCCCCAGUAAACGGCGGCCGUAACUAUAACGGUCCUAAGGUAGCGAAAUUCCUUGUCGGGUAAGUUCCGACCUGCACGAAUGGCGUAACGACAGCGGCGCUGUCUCCACCCGAGACUCAGUGAAAUUGAAAUCGCUGUGAAGAUGCAGCGUUCCCGCGGCAAGACGGAAAGACCCCGUGAACCUUUACUAUAGCUUUACACCGAACGUUGAGUUCUUCUGUGUAGGAUAGGUGGGAGGCUAUGAAACCAGGACGCUAGUUCUGGUGGAGCCAUCCUUGAAAUACAACCCUGAAGUGCUUGACGUUCUAACCUAGGCCCGUAAUCCGGGUCAGGGACCGUGUAUGGUGGGUAGUUUGACUGGGGCGGUCUCCUCCCAAAGAGUAACGGAGGAGCACGAAGGUACGCUCAGCGCGGUCGGACAUCGCGCACUGUGUGCAAAGGCAUAAGCGUGCUUGACUGCGAGAUCGACGGAUCAAGCAGGUACGAAAGUAGGUCUUAGUGAUCCGGUGGUUCUGUAUGGAAGGGCCAUCGCUCAACGGAUAAAAGGUACUCCGGGGAUAACAGGCUGAUACCGCCCAAGAGUUCAUAUCGACGGCGGUGUUUGGCACCUCGAUGUCGGCUCAUCACAUCCUGGGGCUGUAGCCGGUCCCAAGGGUAUGGCUGUUCGCCAUUUAAAGUGGUACGCGAGCUGGGUUCAGAACGUCGUGAGACAGUUCGGUCCCUAUCUGUCGUGGGCGUUGGAGAUUUGAGGGGGGCUGCUCCUAGUACGAGAGGACCGGAGUGGACGUUCCGCUGGUGUUCGGGUUGUCAUGCCCAUGGCAUUGCCCGGUAGCUACGAACGGAAGUGAUAACCGCUGAAAGCAUCUAAGCGGGAAGCACGCCCCAAGAUGAGAUCUCCCGAGAGCUUGACUCUCCUAAAGGCACCAUCAAGACUAGGUGGUUGAUAGGUCAGGUGUGGAAGCGCAGCAAUGCGUUGAGCUAACUGAUACUAAUGAGCCGUGAGGCUUGACCU